UAUCACAGCCUGCUUGGAUCAGUA
rnacentral:miRNA from 5 species